rnacentral:tRNA from 1 species
UUGGCCGAAUCCGAAGUGGACGAGGAGCUGGUCUGUGAAACCAGUGUUAGCGGGUUCGAGCCCCGUCGGUCAACCCA